rnacentral:rRNA from 1 species
UACGGGGGGGGCAAGCGUUGUUCGGAAUUACUGGGCGUAAAGGGUUCGUAGGUGGCUCGCUAAGUCAGACGUGAAAUCCCUCAGCUUAACUGGGGAACUGCGUCUGAGACUGGCAAGCUUGAGUGCAGGAGAGGAACGCGGAAUUCCAGGUGUAGCGGUGAAAUGCGUAGAUAUCUGGAGGAACACCGGUGGCGAAAGCGGUCUCCUGGGCCGAGGGCCGACGCUGAGGCGCGAGAGCGUGGGGAGCGAACCGG